rnacentral:rRNA from 1 species
GUGGGGAAUUUUGGACAAUGGGCGCAAGCCUGAUCCAGCAAUGCCGCGUGUGUGAAGAAGGCCUUCGGGUUGUAAAGCACUUUUGUUCGGAAAGAAAUGGCCUGGGUUAAUACCCCGGGUCGAUGACGGUACCGGAAGAAUAAGCACCGGCUAACUACGUGCCAGCAGCCGCGGUAAUACGUAGGGUGCGAGCGUUAAUCGGAAUUACUGGGCGUAAAGCGUGCGCAGGCGGCGAUGCAAGACAGAUGUGAAAUCCCCGGGCUCAACCUGGGAACUGCAUUUGUGACUGCAUGGCUAGAGUGCGUCAGAGGGGGGUGGAAUUCCGCGUGUAGCAGUGAAAUGCGUAGAGAUGCGGAGGAACACCGAUGGCGAAGGCAGCCCCCUGGGAUGACACUGACGCUCAUGCACGAAAGCGUGGGGAGCAAACAGGAUUAGAUACCCCAGUAGUCC